AUCGAACUUCGUGAGCAACAUCACAUGCGAACACAUCGAGGUGCAGUUGUCUCAUACUCGGGAGUUUGAGUUUUUCCCUUGUUUUCAUAUGCACAACGCAGUUCGAAGGAGAAAGAAGAGAAAUUAUAGUCUUCUUCCAAAGUCUGAGAAGAUUUUGCAGACUUUUGAAAAGAAGCGAGUGUUCCACGAAAUUAUGGUGAAUUACCUCUUCACCCCGUGGCAGAUUUGAGACUAUGGAUCUGCGUAGCACUUUUCCUCGACACAUCCACUGGGUGGAAAGGGUGAUGGACCACAUCCACUGGGAGGCCGCUAUCAAGGGUGAUGGACCACAUCCACUGGGAGGCCGCUAUCAAAGGUGAUGGACCACAUCCACUGGGAGGCCGCUAUAUCAAGGGUGAUGGACCACAUCCUCUGGAAGGCUCCUAUCAAGGGUGAUGCAUGGACAACAUCCACCGGGAAAUCGCUAUCAAGGGUGAAAGACAACAAUUUUUGCGAGAAGUGUAGUCCUAGAGUUAACCACGGAAGUGGAAAGGCCUUGCAUUGUAUAUUAGCGCUACAUGUUAUUUUUUCCUCGUUUCGCCAUCAGCCAUUCAUACCAUCUAUAAUUAGUAUGUAUUUUGUCUGUUGUGUCACAGGUUGUAAAUUAACUACAACCUAUGACUUUGAUCUCAUUAUAUUAAGCUCUACCUCAGGAUCGGGUUCUUCGUUGACUAAGGUAGUGAGGGAUAAGUAAGACACAUCAGUCCAGAUAACGUAUCUUGUAUACGGGGUGGUAAUACAGAGUUGCGAUGCAGAGGAAUAAGCUACGGCACUGACCGUCAGGUCGGAGAACUCAAGCUACACGCUACAUCGCGGAGUGCUUAUCAGCUACUGGGGGGCUCUGCUUAAGGUUUGCUAGAACUUUUAUUAGCUUUACUUCCGCCCACUACUGAGGUCUUGAUCGCGUGAUCUAUCACGUGUCUAUCAGAUGUUGACUCGUCCUCAAUCUCUAUCAGGUCAAGUGAGUUGACACCGGACAGUUGACAUAAUCUCCGAGUCAGUUUCUGUCACAUACACGUUUAUUACCUGUUUGUGCGUGGCUUGUUGGUUUCAUUAUUUUCCAUUACCUUUCCAACUUAAUGCACUUAACUGGUCAUAUUAUCUACUUUUUUAUUGUGUUAACUCAUAAAAAACAGAUUUUAAGUUUAAAUAUUCUAUAAUCUAACUCAAGUCACAUUGCUUUAGGUCAAUGGGAUUCCUAAUAAGAUUCAAUAAAUAGAUGAAAUCCAA
rnacentral:lncRNA from 1 species